CCUACGGGAGGCAGCAGUGGGGAAUAUUGGACAAUGGGCGAAAGCCUGAUCCAGCCAUGCCGCGUGUGUGAAGAAGGCCUUCGGGUUGUAAAGCACUUUCAGUGGGGAAGAAAGCCUUGGGGCUAAUACCCUCGAGGAAGGACAUCACCCACAGAAGAAGCACCGGCUAACUCCGUGCCAGCAGCCGCGGUAAUACGGAGGGUGCGAGCGUUAAUCGGAAUUACUGGGCGUAAAGCGCGCGUAGGCGGUCUGAUAAGCCGGUUGUGAAAGCCCCGGGCUCAACCUGGGAACGGCAUCCGGAACUGUCAGGCUAGAGUGCAGGAGAGGAAGGUAGAAUUCCCGGUGUAGCGGUGAAAUGCGUAGAGAUCGGGAGGAAUACCAGUGGCGAAGGCGGCCUUCUGGACUGACACUGACGCUGAUGUGCGAAAGCGUGGGUAGCAAACAGGAUUAGAUACCCGGGUAGUC
rnacentral:rRNA from 1 species